rnacentral:lncRNA from 1 species
GCCGAAUCAGGGCCCCGAUCUCCAAGGACCCUGCCCGGGCACAACACAGGGUGGGGGUGGGGGACCCGCGCGCCGGCAACCCGCGUUCUCCGGAUUGCGCGCCCACGGGCAGCGAGCGCCCUCCGGAGGGCCGGGGCCGGGGCCCAGAACAGCCCCAUUCUCAGGAAAUCCGUUUGCUACCCCGUCGUGGGGAGAGAGGCAGAACUCAGGCGGAGGGAGAAGGAAAGCGCACGGGUGCAAACUGAAACCACUCGAGGGAUAGAAUUGACAAACCCCAGAAGCCACGGGCCGCGGCCCCAGAGCCGCUGGAGGGCCCAGAGCCCUUCCUGGCCACGACACGGUGCGCGCCUCCCCAGGAAGCUCCUGCAGAUCCCGCUGGCCAAGGGCCAAGGCCGGGAUCCCUUGCUUUCCUCCAGUGGUGCUGCUCACGGCGGCGUCUCCGAGGGCGCACGGGCCUCGUCCCCCGCGGCUGACAGCUCCCCAAACUGGUCCAGUCAGGGACUCUCUCGCUACACUCACUUUCCAGAUGGACUGAGGGGCUGGCAGGGGACCCGGCCAGAGGCUAGCGCUCCAGGGCAUCGGGGCUGGGCCAGAGCCCCUUGGAAAAAAGGCUGGGCUCGAGUUCGUUUGGAGACCACGAAAUGCCGAGCGCGGGGCAGGGGUCAGGUCCAGGACCGGGUCUUGGGAGGUGCAGUGAGAUACUGCCCUGCUGCAGCUCCCCAGGCUUGGAAUUCGUUGUUUUGCACCUGCGGGGCUCUGGACGAAACGAAAAUCCAGCCCCCUCUCUAAAGCAACGUGGAGACUCUGAUGCCGCCUGCUCCCCGGGGUCCAAGGAGCACAUCCAGGGUGUAACUGAGAGUGAACUGGGGCUUGGUCUUUCCCGCCCGCUCCCUGCUGCAACCCUUGCCUAGACCCGCUGGCCCGAGAAGGCGGGAGAGAAGGGGGCUGCCUGCUAUAAAGCCCGGGAGUGGUUGCGCGGUGCGGCCCAGGGUGGGAGCAGGAACCCGGGGCCGGGACACAGGCCGCCGCGUUUCGGGAGUGAAGGGGCCCAGGGAGCAGUGAGCUGGGAUCCGCCGGGGCGACUUUUCAUGCCCCGGGAGGGAGAACACUGCCUCCCCCUUGGCAGCCGGGGCCCAUAGCUUUGCGGCCACUCCUCGCCACAGACGUGCGCCCAUAUCAUGCAGGACGCGGGCUAAGCGUGGAGGGAAACGGUCAGGACAGCAGGCCCCGGCGGGGCCUUCACGGCGCCACAGGCCGCCCCAACGAAGUGCGACGCCCCAAGGCCUGCGCGAUUCUGUCACCUGCCUUUGAAGGGAGAGCGGAGAGAGCAACGGCACCGCCGGACUUAGCCGGCGGCGGGCCCGUGGGGGACUCCCUCCCGUCUGUCCCCAGCUUGGCACGGGAGACACCGAGGCCAGGACCAAAGCCGCACAGCGCUGGGAGCUGCAGAGGCCGCUGGCAGGGCCCCGACGGCAGCGGGAUCCCCCAGUGCUGUGCAGCCUCUUGGGUCAAAGCAGGCCAGGGCGCGCGGGCGCGGGGUGAGGGGAACUCGCUCCCGGAGGCUCCCCCGCGCCCAGAGGAGGGUGCAGGCGUCACGAGCGAGGAGCAGCAAGGCUUGGGGGAGCGAGAGAAGUGGCUGCAGACUCCGCGUCGCGCAGACGCGGCCCUUGCAGGUGGUGGCGAGUAGGUUCGCGCGCGACCCCCGCGCCCCCA